rnacentral:rRNA from 1 species
AUUGGACGCUGGCGGCAGGCUUAACACAUGCAAGUCGAGCGGGGUGAUGGUGCUUGCACUAUCACUUAGCGGCGGACGGGUGAGUAAUGCUUAGGAAUCUGCCUAUUAGUGGGGGACAACAUCUCGAAAGGGAUGCUAAUACCGCAUACGUCCUACGGGAGAAAGCAGGGGAUCACUUGUGACCUUGCGCUAAUAGAUGAGCCUAAGUCGGAUUAGCUAGUUGGUGGGGUAAAGGCCGACCAAGGCGACGAUCUGUAGCGGGUCUGAGAGGAUGAUCCGCCACACUGGGACUGAGACACGGCCCAGACUCCUACGGGAGGCAGCAGUGGGGAAUAUCGGACAAUGGGGGGAACCCUGAUCCAGCCAUGCCGCGUGUGUGAAGAAGGCCUUAUGGUUGUAAAGCACUUUAAGCGAGGAGGAGGCUCUUUUGGUUAAUACCCAAGAUGAGUGGACGUUACUCGCAGAAUAAGCACCGGCUAACUCUGUGCCAGCAGCCGCAGUAACAC